GCUGGCUACUAUGCCAGCUGGUGGAUUGCUCGGCUCAGGCGCUGAUGAAGGACGUGCCAAGCUGCGAUAAGCCAUGGGGAGCCGCACGGAGGCGAAGAACCAUGGAUUUCCGAAUGAGAAUCUCUACACUAAUUGCUUCGCGCAAUGAGGAACCCCGAGAACUGAAACAUCUCAGUAUCGGGAGGAACAGAAAACGCAAUGUGAUGUCGUUAGUAACCGCGAGUGAACGCGAUACAGCCCAAACCGAAGCCCUCACGGGCAAUGUGGUGUCAGGGCUACCUCUCAUCAGCCGACCGUCUCGACGAAGUCUCUUGGAACAGAGCGUGAUACAGGGUGACAACCCCGUACUCGAGACCAGUACGACGUGCGGUAGUGCCAGAGUAGCGGGGGUUGGAUAUCCCUCGCGAAUAACGCAGGCAUCGACUGCGAAGGCUAAACACAACCUGAGACCGAUAGUGAACAAGUAGUGUGAACGAACGCUGCAAAGUACCCUCAGAAGGGAGGCGAAAUAGAGCAUGAAAUCAGUUGGCGAUCGAGCGACAGGGCAUACAAGGUCCCUCGACGAAUGACCGACGCGCGAGCGUCCAGUAAGACUCACGGGAAGCCGAUGUUCUGUCGUACGUUUUGAAAAACGAGCCAGGGAGUGUGUCUGCAUGGCAAGUCUAACCGGAGUAUCCGGGGAGGCACAGGGAAACCGACAUGGCCGCAGGGCUUUGCCCGAGGGCCGCCGUCUUCAAGGGCGGGGAGCCAUGUGGACACGACCCGAAUCCGGACGAUCUACGCAUGGACAAGAUGAAGCGUGCCGAAAGGCACGUGGAAGUCUGUUAGAGUUGGUGUCCUACAAUACCCUCUCGUGAUCUAUGUGUAGGGGUGAAAGGCCCAUCGAGUCCGGCAACAGCUGGUUCCAAUCGAAACAUGUCGAAGCAUGACCUCCGCCGAGGUAGUCUGUGAGGUAGAGCGACCGAUUGGUCUAGUGUCCGCCUCCGAGAGGAGUCGGCACGGGGGCCCACCAGCCUACCAAACCUGUCAAACUCCAAACUUACAGACGCCGUUUGACGCGGGGAUUCCGGUGCGCGGGGUAAGCCUGUGUACCAGGAGGGGAACAACCCAGAGAUAGGUUAAGGUCCCCAAGUGUGGAUUAAGUGUAAUCCUCUGAAGGUGGUCUCGAGCCCUAGACAGCCGGGAUGUUGGCUUAGAAGCAGCCAUCAUUUAAAGAGUGCGUAACAGCUCACCGGCCGAGGUUUGAGGCGCCCAAAAUGAUCGGGACUCAAAUCCACCACCGAGACCUGUCCGUACCACUCAUACUGGUAAUCGAGUAGAUUGGCGCUCUAAUUGGAUGGAAGUAGGGGUGAAAACUCCUAUGGACCGAUUAGUGACGAAAAUCCUGGCCAUAGUAGCAGCGAUAGUCGGGUGAGAACCCCGACGGCCUAAUGGAUAAGGGUUCCUCAGCACUGCUGAUCAGCUGAGGGUUAGCCGGUCCUAAGUCAUACCGCAACUCGACUAUGACGAAAUGGGAAACGGGUUAAUAUUCCCGUGCCACUAUGCAGUGAAAGUUGACGCCCUGGGGUCGAUCACGCUGGGCAUUCGCCCAGUCGAACCGUCCAACUCCGUGGAAGCCGUAAUGGCAGGAAGCGGACGAACGGCGGCAUAGGGAAACGUGAUUCAACCUGGGGCCCAUGAAAAGACGAGCAUAGUGUCCGUACCGAGAACCGACACAGGUGUCCAUGGCGGCGAAAGCCAAGGCCUGUCGGGAGCAACCAACGUUAGGGAAUUCGGCAAGUUAGUCCCGUACCUUCGGAAGAAGGGAUGCCUGCUCCGGAACGGAGCAGGUCGCAGUGACUCGGAAGCUCGGACUGUCUAGUAACAACAUAGGUGACCGCAAAUCCGCAAGGACUCGUACGGUCACUGAAUCCUGCCCAGUGCAGGUAUCUGAACACCUCGUACAAGAGGACGAAGGACCUGUCAACGGCGGCCGUAACUAUAACGGUCCUAAGGUAGCGUAGUACCUUGCCGCAUCAGUAGCGGCUUGCAUGAAUGGAUUAACCAGAGCUUCACUGUCCCAACGUUGGGCCCGGUGAACUGUACAUUCCAGUGCGGAGUCUGGAGACACCCAGGGGGAAGCGAAGACCCUAUGGAGCUUUACUGCAGGCUGUCGCUGAGUCUUGGUCGCCGAUGUGCAGCAUAGGUAGGAGUCGUUACAGAGGUACCCGCGCUAGCGGGCCACCCAGACAACAGUGAAAUACUACCCGUCGGUGACUGCGGGGAUGCGUAGGAUAGGUGGGAGCGCAAGCGCCGGUGAAAUACCACCCUUCCCCGGCUGGGACUCUCACUCCGGGAGGAGGACACCGAUAGCCGGGCAGUUUGACUGGGGCGGUACGCGCUCGAAAAGAUAUCGAGCGCGCCCUAUGGCUAUCUCAGCCGGGACGGAGACCCGGCGAAGAGUGCAAGAGCAAAAGAUAGCUUGACAGUGUUCUUCCCAACGAGGAACGCUGACGCGAAAGCGUGGUCUAGCGAACCAAUUAGCCUGCUUGAUGCGGGCAAUUGAUGACAGAAAAGCUACCCUAGGGAUAACAGAGUCGUCACUCGCAAGAGCACAUAUCGACCGAGUGGCUUGCUACCUCGAUGUCGGUUCCCUCCAUCCUGCCCGUGCAGAAGCGGGCAAGGGUGAGGUUGUUCGCCUAUUAAAGGAGGUCGUGAGCUGGGUUUAGACCGUCGUGAGACAGGUCGGCUGCUAUCUACUGGGUGUGUAAUGGUGUCUGACAAGAACGACCGUAUAGUACGAGAGGAACUACGGUUGGUGGCCACUGGUGUACCGGUUGUUCGAGAGAGCACGUGCCGGGUAGCCACGCCACACGGGGUAAGAGCUGAACGCAUCUAAGCUCGAAACCCACUUGGAAAAGAGACACCGCCGAGGUCCCGCGUACAAGACGCGGUCGAUAGACUCGGGGUGUGCGCGUCGAGGUAACGAGACGUUAAGCCCACGAGCACUAACAGACCAA
rnacentral:rRNA from 1 species